GAUGAAGAACGCAGCGAAAUGCGAUAAGUAGUGUGAAUUGCAGAAUUCAGUGAAUCAUCGAAUCUUUGAACGCACAUUGCGCCCUUUGGUAUUCCUUAGGGCAUGCCUGUUCGAGCGUCAUCUAAACCUUCAAGCCCUGCUUGGUGUUGGGUGCCUGUCCCGCCUCCGCGCGUGGACUCACCUCAAAUCCAUUGGCGGCCCCCGCGUCGGCCACGAGCGCAGCAGAAACGCGAACUCGUGAGCCCGUCCGGGCGGCUCCCAGAAGCUAACCCCCAAUUUUUGACCUCGGAUCAGGUAGGGAUACCCGCUGAACUUAAGCAUAUCAAUAAGCGGAUGA
rnacentral:misc_RNA from 1 species